GACGAACGCUGGCGGCGUGCUUAACACAUGCAAGUCGAACGGAAAGGCCCUGCUUUUGUGGGGCGCUCGAGUGUCGAUCAGGUGUGUAACACGGGAGUAACCUGCCCUUGACUUUAGGAUAACUUCUGGUGACUGGUGCUAAUAGCGGAUAGGAGCUCCUGCUGCAUGGUGGGGGAUGGAAAGUUUCGGCGGUUGGGGAUGGACUGGAGGCGUAUCAGCUUGUUGGUGGGGUAUUGGCUUAUCAUGGCUUUGCCGGGUAGCCGGCCGGAGAGGGGUACCGGCCAGGCUGCGUUUGAAAUACGGCACAGACCACUCCGGGAGGCAGCAGUGGGGUAUAUUGCACAAUGGGCGGAAGCAUGAUGUAGCAACGCCGCGUGCGGGAUGACGGCAUUCGGGUUGUAAAGCGCUUUCGCAUGUGCAGAAGAGUGAGUGACGGUAAUGGGUAAAGAAGCACCGGCUAAAUACGUG
rnacentral:rRNA from 1 species